rnacentral:lncRNA from 1 species
GCUGUAGGGUGGAGAGGGAAAAUGUUUAGGGUUGGCGACAAGGAGGGAGAGGAGAGAGCCAAGGGGGCGCGGGGCUCAGGAUGUGCACGUCAAGCACGGGGCGGGCGCGGAGUGGACAUGAUGAUGGCAGGGGUUCAGCAGCGAGAAAAGGAGGAGAGUCUAAAAAGUAAGCACAAUUACUGAUCAUUUUUACAAUUGCUGAUUUAGAUUCCGAUUCAUACUCUAAAAUAGGAGGGCUAAAAUUCUGUAUUCAACCCCUAUAAAUAAACUACACAAGAUGAUAGUGAGACUGCGUAGAGAGCUAAAUGUGCAAGAUCGACAUCUUUGCUAGUAAAAGACUUAGCAUUUUCUUCUUGAAGAAAGUACAUCUCUACUUUUGGACAAAAGAAUGCAACACAUACAAAGAUUGGAAAAUCGCCAUCGAACAAAAGCCAUGUUCCACCAUUCAAGUAUCUGAACAAACAAGCAUGGGAUUGGUAGCAGUAGUGAAUAGUAUGCAUAGAUGUGUAGGCAAGUAACAAAGAUUAGCGAAAGGGAAACAGAUUAUCCAAAAGAAGAAAGGUUUUAUAUAUUUUCAACGUACCCAGCCAUAAAAUCAUAUGCUUCUUGAUUAACAAAAUGAACACACAAUUAAGUAGGCAUAGGAGGUGCACAAUCAUGUACCGAAAAAAGCAGAGAUGGACAGGGAUCAAGUUCAUCCAUCCAUCUUCAAAAAGAGUUUUGAGUUCCGCAUAUAUAUAGAGAUAUAGAUAGUGGUGUUCUGAAAAUAGCUCUUCUUAAUUCUGCAUUUCUCCUAGGUACAUCUAUAAGAAAUGCAGAGUGAAGCUGAUAUUUCCUUUCUAUCCUCACAAAUAUUUUAUUUUCAAGCCAAUAAUAAAUUUAGAUUGCUACUAUUAUAAUUAGAGUACUUAUAUCAGAGAUAUUAUGGUAUAAGCACUUAAUAAACUGCUAUCAAAGAAGCAUACAUGACAUAAGGGGUAUUUUGUUGCCUCAACAAUUAAAAAAAAUAGAGCAGUACAAAUCUUUAAAGGAAAAAGGCAAACCAAACUUGCAAACAGUGUGGGUUCCAUGAAUUUGCACAGAAUUUAGACAAAGAAAAAGAAACUAAAUUCAGACCACAGAACAUGGCAAACCAUGGAGAAGGAAAAUCAGGAGAUGCCAAAAUCAUUCAGCAAUUUUGUCCCUUGGACCAAGAAGCAAAGACAAUUUACUUAUAUACAGUAUACGACCAAGAGCUUGCAGCAGGGUAAUGAAUAAAACAGAACUGCAAGUCUGCAAGAAAGAAGCAUAUUUACCUUAUUAGUUUCCAUUGGAUUUCUAAGCUACAAAAAGUUGUUACAUUAAUGCUCUCAAGAUUGGUAGGUUGUACCCUUUUCAUAGUGUGGUGAAACUGUAAUUAAAUAAACUUUAAUUGCAUAGCUCUUGCAAGAGUAUCACUUCAUGUAUGACCAAUUGGAAUCCUUGCUCUGUACUUAAUAAUUCUGCACUCCAAAUAGCUACAACCCUCUACUGAAUUUUUUUAACCAAGAAGCAAUAAUGUGACCAUAAUUAAUGGCAAAAAAUGUUCAUUGCUCGUGUUAGAAGGAUAAAAUAACUACCUUUGGUAGGUACUUCAACUAUGAAAGAUCAUGUAAUAAUUAGUGAUUUACCUGAGAGUAAAAGGGUCGCAAGUAUAUUCAUUAACUGCCCUCGUACAACCUGCAAAUUGAUUAUGGAAUGAGUUUCUGACGGGAAAUAGAAAACACACAACACAAAAGAACAGUAGGUACCUGACAUAGCUCCAGCGUGGUAAACUUUUUUGAGUGCUUCCAGUCAUCUUUGGUGUCUUACUCGUGUCUGGCCAUUGCCCUGCUCGUCAAGGUCACCGUUGCACCACCACUCACGGCAAGGCUCAUGUACCAAGUAUGCUCCAGCUGCCAACAGACAAGCAAUGUUGCGGAAACCAAUUGAGGCAUUUUCACUAAGUAAAGCUACAAAACCAUUUAGUAAAAUCCAGUGGAACUAUCCUACUACAUGACUGAAUCAAUGAAACAUAACAGGAGCUGCAGAAGCCACUCUAGAUCUUUUUCACAAACCAAAGGUAGCAUUUUAGGUACUAAUUAACCCUGGGGCAUAUAUUAUCAUUUAGUCAAAUAACUGAAUCAAUGAAAAUUGAUAGGAAGAGAAGGAAUGGGGGUGUUUCAGAACCAUGGCUACACAUACAUGGCAUACAUCUGAAAAAGGGAAAAUGAACAACCUAAAUACAUACUUGAAGGAAACAGGAUAAAAUAAACUGAUGUAUGAACUGCAAUGUGAUGAGAUUAUUAGUAGACAUGAUAAAAUACAUAUGUACAAGUCAUUAUUUAAUAGAUUAUGAAUAGGAAGAUCUUGGAAACAAGGAUGAAAUUAAAUCUGGAAAGGAAACAAGAAUAAAUCAAAUCUGACUAAAUCCACGAGAGUACAUGUGAAGAGAGGGAGAGAGAGAGAGGGGCAAGAAGCACGUGAUUAACUUUUGAUUCAUAUGGUGUGCUGCCUGUNNNNNNNNNNGCGGAAACCAAUUGAGGCAUUUUCACUAAGUAAAGCUACAAAACCAUUUAGUAAAAUCCAGUGGAACUAUCCUACUACAUGACUGAAUCAAUGAAACAUAACAGGAGCUGCAGAAGCCACUCUAGAUCUUUUUCACAAACCAAAGGUAGCAUUUUAGGUACUAAUUAACCCUGGGGCAUAUAUUAUCAUUUAGUCAAAUAACUGAAUCAAUGAAAAUUGAUAGGAAGAGAAGGAAUGGGGGUGUUUCAGAACCAUGGCUACACAUACAUGGCAUACAUCUGAAAAAGGGAAAAUGAACAGCCUAAAUACAUACUUGAAGGAAACAGGAUAAAAUAAACUGAUGUAUGAACUGCAAUGUGAUGAGAUUAUUAGUAGACAUGAUAAAAUACGUAUGUACAAGUCAUUAUUUAAUAGAUUAUGAAUAGGAAGAUCUUGGAAACAAGGAUGAAAUUAAAUCUGGAAAGGAAACAAGAAUAAAUCAAAUCUGACUAAAUCCACGAGAGUACAUGUGAAGAGAGGGAGAGAGAGAGAGGGGCAAGAAGCACGUGAUUAACUUUUGAUUCAUAUGGUGUGCUGCCUGUGUGUAACAAGAAAGAGGGGUCNNNNNNNNNNNNNNNNNNNNNNNNNNNNNNNNNNNNNNNNNNNNNNNNNNNNNNNNNNNNNNNNNNNNNNNNNNNNNNNNNNNNNNNNNNNNNNNNNNNNNNNNNNNNNNNNNNNNNNNNNNNNNNNNNNNNNNNNCCAGAUCGGGAACCUGGGAGAAGAAGCGGAGAGGUAGGGGCCUCCCCGUCGCUCACCGGCGUCCGUCCCACCCGCUCCAGAUCGGGAACCUGGGAGAAGAUGCGGAGAGGUAGGGGCCUCCCCAUCGCUCACCGGCACUCGCCGUCGGCCGCAUCGAUCUAGCCACCACCAGGACGCUCUAACUUCUUCCGGGGUCUCCUUUUCUUCGUCCAGAUUGCGAUCAGCAGCACCCCCGAGAGAGAGAGAGAGAGGGGGCUUGGGGAGGUCGAUGACGAGGGUGGGCUAGGCCAUGGCGGCAGGGAGGACGUGAGAGAGGAGGCUUGGGGAGGAAGCGCGAGAAGAGGGAGGCGGCCGCGGGGGUCUCUAGGGUUCCUUUUACCCAGGCCACGAUUGGCGAGGACGCACUGCACACCUCGCGUACCAAAAACUGGAGAAAACUCACGUGGGUCGCAUGACCCCACAGCCAACGAGCCCCACUCGUCAUCCUCUCUAUAAGCUUAAAUUAAUGUGAGAAAAAGCCAACGGUUGACCAGCUGCCAGCAGCCAAAAAAGUACUGUGGUGAAUUCAUCCUACGGUGAAAAACGUCUCGCGCGAGGAGUGCCCCUGGAAUGGCGGGUACUCUAGCGUGGUUUAUAUGUUAGAUUUUGGGAGACAUGGUGAACGUUUUUUUCUUUAGUAACUUGUGUCCUAGAAUGGUGUUGCCAAUGAUUAUGAUAGAAAAAGAUUUGAGUCAUCGUUAUAACAGACUCUCAUACUAGCCUAUUACUAGGGGCACCUCAUAGAAAAGCAUGAAAUCUGCCAGCAUACACUUAUAUGCCGCGCUUAUAAAUAUCUAAAAAUAUUAAGGCAUUUCGUGUGUGCCAGCGUACACUUAUAAUGUGCCCCCAGAGUAAUGAAACAAAGGAGGUAAAAUAUGUAGCAUCAAUGGCAUCUAUCAUUGCAAGACAUACAUAAAUGCCAGCUAGACCAUAUGCAUGUGUGUGAUAGCUGAAAAGCCAGCUAGCCAAUAAUUGGCGUGCAUCUGAAAAGUGAAAUUUCAGCUUUCAUAAAAUUAACCCAAGCCAUUCUUUCUCCCCCAAUCAAUUCCGCAGCAUUCUUCACCUUACGGUGGACCCUUAGUGCCUGCCCCUCACUGCUACAUCGCCGCCACUCAUCCCUCACCUAGCCCUCGUAGCCUACCAUACCAUGUCAUUGCUCCUGUCACUGGUGCCCUCUCCAUUCAAGCCGUACAUGAAGGAACUGCUUGAUUGCAUUGUCUUUUCAUGACGUGCAAGUUUUUACUCCAGCGUUAGACAAAAAGAAGUCUGACAAAUUAGUAAACAUGCUUAGCAUAAGCUGUUGGCCUGUUAAGUCACCAGAGUAAACUUCAAAGUGGAAACACAAGUUUGAUAUCAAUGGAUUGUUUGUUUCUGCAGUUGCUAAGACUAGCAAUUUGUAGAAGCAUUCUCAACUUUUCUCUGUACUUUCCUUGGGCAGUAUUUACCCUGUACUGUUUGAGGAUGUGUUCAUGUGCUAAUUGGUUCUUAUGAUGGUUCCACUUUUAUUUGUAUCUUGCAGGAUUUUAUUGUAAUGACACGAUAUUAAGAAUAGCAGAGAUAGACAUGCCUAUGUCUACAGCUAACUAUUCAAGAUAGACAUGCCUGUGUCUACAAGAAAAUCAGCUUAGCAUUCAUAUCUCAUGUUCUCAACUCCCUAUACACUCUGACCAGACAUAUAAUUAAGCUUAGGUCAGCAAACCGGACAAGGCAUAUAUCGUUACCGUGUAGAGCAUGUGAGUAAAUGCACAUUGUUCAGUUCGUAUUUGGUUCCACAUUUUUUACUUAUCGUAUCAAAGGUUUGUGCAAAUAAUAAAAUUGGUGUCUCUAGCUACUGCCCUGCCAUUGCCCUUUUGGCGAGUGAUUGAUGCAUGGUGCAUGUUUUUUGCUGUUAGUGUCUUUCUAUGCUAGCGGAGCUCGAGUUCAAUAGUUCUUCACAUUACAUAGUUGUUAUUCACCCCCGUACUGAGUUUCUUUAAAAUACAUUGGUUCCAGUCUUAACUAUGGGCCGUUUUGCCAUGCUUACAUCAGAGCUCAAAAGUAGAUGCCAUCAGCAAGUAGGUGAUACCUGUCUGUCUGAUUUAGGAUUUUGGAAUUGCUCACAACGUUUCUUUCAGCAUGUCAAUGACAAUGGCACCUGCACCUUGCCGUUCUGAUGUUCAUUAUGUUUCUUGAAGCCCUCUCCAUCUUUAUAUUCAUUACAUAUUUUCAAUAGCUUAUUUCUUAUACCUAGAGUGAAUACCAGGAGCUCAUUCUUACCUCUCCAAUUUAUUCUUAUUUGAGUAUUAAGAGCACCUACAUUUCCUCAAGAUUAUUGAUCAAGCACGGCCUAUGUACAUAUCGAAUAAUUGUAUUCCAAAAUUUUGUGUUUAGCUCAAUAAGGAGUGUUUUUCUUAAUUUUCUAAGAUAGAUGUUUUUUCUUUACUUGGCAUCCGCUUCUCUUAAUUUUUCUACAAUCCUUCCUUUACAGUUUGCACGCUGGUAUGUUUUGUUGCCAAGCUAAGAUCGGCGAGACCCGUGCCAAUACAUGAGGUACAAUAUUUUCUUAUUUAUUACUUGCAUACAUGUUGAGCUCAUUCAUCCUAUUAUGUAUACUGAUUAAACAGUACAGGUUGGGCCAAGAAAUAGAUGCUAUUAGUACUUGCUCGCGCUCAUUUCUCAUGUUUAUAUUCAGGCAUAACCUCACAAAAUUUUGGUAUGCACUCACUUAUAAUCAUGGCUUGCUUAUUUUAAUUCUUGAAUUCUUUUGAUAAAUAUCAUAUCAUUAGUAUUUGUAAUGAUUUUGUCGGUUAGGAUUUCCAAUUGCAUUUGAUUUCUAUGCCGACAUAGAUCUUAUUACUCAUCAAAGGUAUCUAAAAGUUGUGUGCUCUACAAAGAGAUUGGUUGUGUUGGUCAAUAGAAUACCUAAGAUGUCGGUUUUGUUGCCAAAUAUUGUAAUCCCAGAUUUACAGAGUUCUAGAAUAGAAGAUGAUCUGGUGGUUACCUCUCUGUUAUUUACUCGAAUGACUACUUAUAUCUUACCUUCAGACUUUACCUGAUCUUGGUUUAGUUUCCAUCUCCAAUCAGAUUAAUGGUUUGCAGACCAAAGCCAAUGAUUUAUGGUGUUCUUAUUCCUAAUUUAGUUAUACAUUUGAUUUGUAGUUUCUUUGUAGAUAAUAAAGCAGUGGUAGAUGAACCAAUAAGUUAUCUGUGCCCAUGCUUUAUUGUAAGCAUUAAAUUUGCUCUCUGGUAUUACUUUCAAUGUGUUAUCCAUACCCAUGCUUUUUGCGGCUAAUUAUCAUGUCCUAUCAACUUAUGCAGAGUCCAUGAUAUCAUACAGUUCGCAGUCGAAAAAUUCAUGAUAUGGGUGAUAUGGAAGUCAUUGCCUUCUUUGCUGGUACAUUCCCUGAUUGCCUGGACUUCUUGGGUCAAUCGCUGGACGCCACCCCCAUCUCCUGGACGUCAUGACGCCGCCGAUCUCCUAUAUGAACUCAAUUUCUCCAAUUUCUCUCAGCUGUGAGCUCAUAUAUUUUUUGAGCUGUGAACUUAUUAUGUAAAUUCAACACUUUGUUUUGUGAGAAGUGAACUCAUUGCAUAUUCGUCUAUCAAUCAUGGUUGAAGUGUCUAUAUGUCUCUCCCUUCCGAAUGUACUAUAAUUUGAGGUCUACAUACUUUUUUCUAGCCACAAUUUUGUUUCAAAGGCUUCUGCAACGUCACCUUUGUUGCAAUGGUGAGGAGAACGCUGGGUUGUCGGAUAACAUCAGAUCUAAGGGA